rnacentral:rRNA from 1 species
CAGCCGCCGCGGUAAAACGUAGGGCGCAAGCGUUGUCCGGAAUUAUUGGGCGUAAAGAGCUCGUAGGCGGUCUGUCGCGUCUGGUGUGAAAUCCCGAGGCUCAACCUCGGGCUUGCAUCGGGUACGGGCAGACUAGAGUGCGGUAGGGGAGACUGGAAUUCCUGGUGUAGCGGUGGAAUGCGCAGAUAUCAGGAGGAACACCGAUGGCGAAGGCAGGUCUCUGGGCCGCAACUGACGCUGAGGAGCGAAAGCAUGGGGAGCGAACAGGAUUAGAUACCCCAGUAGUCCCUGUCUCUUAUAA